rnacentral:lncRNA from 7 species
AUGCUGGGGACAUCACACCCGAAAUGCUUGGGCGUUUGCUUUGUUGUUCAACAGACGCCUGCAGUUCCCGUUCUGGCAGCGGCUCGGUGCAAGCGCAGGCCCAAGGGAGAUGUCAGCUGCGGAGACGUGCCCUUCCUCCACAGGACGGGAAAGCAAGUCGGGGAGAAGAGCUGGAGGCAGCUGAACCUAUAUGAGAAAAUGGAACUGAGAGACCCUGUGAAGGAGGAGAUCCCUGAGAAAAAGCGCAACACCAGCCAGAAGCUCAGCCUCGGAUACCUGCACAUGGCCGUCAGACAGAAGACGGGCAUGAAGACGAGAGCAGGGUCAGACCCUAAAGAACAGCAAGGCCACCUUGGCUAUGGAGCAGACAGUGGACCUGAAAUUGCAACAAGAAACAGGUACACACACACACACACACUCAGGGGAGAAACCCCUUCACCAGGGGCUUCUACCCCACGCACGGGGUCCCCUCCUCAGCCGGAGGGCACCCCAGUUCUACUUGCAAACAAGGGGAACCCUAGAAAACUUCAGGGCUAAGCCCCAUCUCACCUCCACGCAUGGGGUCCCCUCCUCAGCCGGAGGGCACCCCAGUUUCACCCGCAUGCAAGGGGAACCCUUGAAAACUUCAGGGCUAAGCCCCAUCUCACCUCCACGCACGGGGUCCCCUCCUCAGCUGGAGGGCACCCCAGUUUGACCCGCACGCAAGGGGAACCCUUGAAAACUUCAGGGCUAAGCCCCAUCUCACUGGCACGCACGGGGUCCUCUCCUCAGCCGGAGGGCACCCCAGUUUGACCCGCACGCAAGGGGAACCCUUGAAAACUUCAGGGCUAAGCCCCAUCUCACCUCCACGCACGGGGUCCCCUCCUCAGCCGGAGGGCACCCCAGUUUCACCCACAUGCAAGGGGAACCCUUGAAAACUUCAGGGCUAAGCCCCAUCUCACCUCCAUGCACGGGGUCCUCUCCUCAGCCGGAGGGCACCCCAGUUCUACUUGCAAACAAGGGGAACCCUUGAAAACUUCAGGGCUAAGCCCCAUCUCACCUCCACGCACGGGGUCCCCUCCUCAGCCGGAGGGCACCCCAGUUUCACCCACAUGCAAGGGGAACCCUUGAAAACUUCAGGGCUAAGCCCCAUCUCACCUCCAUGCACGGGGUCCUCUCCUCAGCCGGAGGGCACCCCAGUUCUACUUGCAAACAAGGGGAACCCUUGAAAACUUCAGGGCUAAGCCCCAUCUCACCUCCACGCACGGGGUCCUCUCCUCAGCCGGAGGGCACCCCAUUUUGACCCACAUGCAAGGGGAACCCUUGAAAACUUCAGGGCUAAGCCCCAUCUUACAUGCACGCACGGGGUCCUCUCCUCAGUUGGAGGGCACCCCAUUUCCACCCACAUGCAAGGGGAACCCUUGAAAACUUCAGGGCUAAGCCCCAUCUCACCUCCACGCACGGGGUCCUCUCCUCAGCCGGAGGGCACCCCAGUUUGACCCGCAUGCAAGGGGAACCCUUGAAAACUUCAGGGCUAAGCCCCAUCUCACCUCCACGCACGGGGAUCCCUCCUCAGCCGGAGGGCACCCCAGUUUCACCCACACGCAAGGGGAACCCUUGAAAACUUCAGGGCUAAGCCCCAUCUCACCUCCACGCACGGGGUCCUCUCCUCAGCCGGAGGGCACCCCAGUUUGACCCGCACGCAAGGGGAACCCUUGAAAACUUCAGGGCUAAGCCCCAUCUCACCUCCACGCACGGGUCCUCUCCUCAGCCGGAGGGCACCCCAGUUUGACCCGCACGCAAGGGAACCUUGAAAACUUCAGGGCUAAGCCCCAUCUCACCUCCACGCACGGGUCCCCUCCUCAGCCGGAGGGCACCCCAGUUUCACCCACAUGCAAGGGGAACCCUUGAAAACUUCAGGGCUAAGCCCCAUCUCACUUCCACGCACGGGGUCCUCUCCUCAGUCGGAGGGCACCCCAGUUUGACCCGCACGCAAGGGGAACCCUUGAAACUUCAGGGCUAAGCCCCAUCUCACCCGCACGCACGGGGUCCUCUCCUCAGCCGGAGGGCACCCCAUUUCCACCCGCACGCAAGGGGAACCCUUGAAAACUUCAGGGCUAAGCCCCAUCUCACCUCCACGCACGGGGUCCCCUCCUCAGCCGGAGGGCACCCCAGUUUCACCCACAUGCAAGGGGAACCCUUGAAAACUUCAGGGCUAAGCCCCAUCUCACCUCCACGCACGGGGUCCUCUCCUCAGCCGGAGGGCACCCCAGUUUGACCCGCACGCAAGGGGAACCCUAGAAAACUUCAGGGCUAAGCCCCAUCUCACCUCCACGCACGGGGUCCUCUCCUCAGCCGGAGGGCACCCCAUUUCCACCCGCACGCAAGGGAACCCUUGAAAACUUCAGGGCUAAGCCCCAUCUCACCUCCACGCACGGGGUCCCCUCCUCAGUUGGAGGGCACCCCAUUUCCACCCACAUGCAAGGGGAACCCUUGAAAACUUCAGGGCUAAGCCCCAUCUCACCUCCACGCACGGGGUCCCCUCCUCAGCCGUAGGGAACCCCAGUUUGACCCGCACGCAAGGGGAACCCUUGAAAACUUCAGGGCUAAGCCCCAUCUCACUUCCACGCACGGGGUCCCCUCCUCAGCCGGAGGGCACCCCAGUUCCACCCGCACGCAAGGGAACCCUAGAAAACUCAGGCUAAGCCCCAUCUCACCUCCACGCACGGGUCCUCCCUCAGCCGGAGGGCACCCCAGUUUGACCUGCACGCAAGGGGAACCCUUGAAAACUUCAGGGCUAAGCCCCAUCUCACCUCCACGCACGGGGUCCUCUCCUCAGCCGGAGAGCACCCCAGUUUGACCCACAUGCAAGGGGAACCCUUGAAAACUUCAGGGCUAAGCCCCAUCUCACUGGCACGCACGGGUCCUCUCCUCAGCCGGAGGGCACCCCAGUUUGACCCACAUGCAAGGGGAACCCUUGAAAACUUCAGGGCUAAGCCCCAUCUCACCUCCAUGCACGGGGUCCCCUCCUCAGCCGGAGGGCACCCCAGUUUGACCCGCACGCAAGGGGAACCCUAGAAAACUUCAGGGCUAAGCCCCAUCUCACCUCCACGCACGGGGUCCUCUCCUCAGCCGGAGGGCACCCCGGUUUGACCCACAUGCAAGGGAACCCUUGAAAACUCAGGGCUAAGCCCCAUCUCACCUCCACGCACGGGGCCUCUCCUCACUGGAGGGCACCCCAGUUUGACACACACGCAAGGGGAACCCUUGAAAACUUCAGGGCUAAGCCCCAUCUCACCUCCACGCACGGGGUCCCCUCCUCAGCUGGAGGGCACCCCAUUUCCACCCGCACGCAAGGGGAACCCUAGAAAACUUCAGGGCUAAGCCCCAUCUCACCUCCAUGCACGGGGUCCUCUCCUCAGCCGGAGGGCACCCAGUUCUACUUGCAACAAGGGGAACCCUUGAAAACUUCAGGGCUAAGCCCCAUCUCACCUCCACGCACGGGGUCCUCUCCUCAGCCGGAGGGCACCCCAUUUUGACCCACAUGCAAGGGGAACCCUUGAAAACUUCAGGGCUAAGCCCCAUCUUACAUGCACGCACGGGGUCCUCUCCUCAGUUGGAGGGCACCCCAUUUCCACCCACAUGCAAGGGGAACCCUUGAAAACUUCAGGGCUAAGCCCCAUCUCACCUCCACGCACGGGGUCCUCUCCUCAGCCGGAGGGCACCCCAGUUUGACCCGCAUGCAAGGGGAACCCUUGAAAACUUCAGGGCUAAGCCCCAUCUCACCUCCACGC